rnacentral:tRNA from 1 species
GCCUUCGUGGUGUAGUGGUCUGCAUGCUCAAUGUGUAAUCGAGAGGUCCGUGGUUCGAUUCCCGGCGAAGGCG